rnacentral:misc_RNA from 1 species
UCCGUGUUCACCACGGCAGUCUCUUUAGAGUGCCCAACUGAAUGCUGGCAACUAAAGACAAGGGUUGCGCUCGUUGCGGGACUUAACCCAACAGGUCACCCCACGAGCUGACGACAGCCAUGCAGCACCUGUCACCCUGCGGUAUUGCUACCGAGACCGUAUCUCUACGGCUGUCAGGGGAUGUCAAACCCAGGUAAGGUUCUUCGCGUUGCUUCGAAUUAAACCACAUGAUCCACCGCUUGUGCGGGCCCCCGUCAAUUCCUUUGAGUUUUAGCCUUGCGGCCGUACUUCCCAGGCGGGGUACUUAUUGCGUUAGCGCCGGUUCAGCAGGGGUCAAGACCCACCAAACCUAGUACCCAUCGUUUACAGCGUGGACUAC